GGGGCGGGACAAGGAGAUUAGAAUGGGAGAGGUCCCCAGGGUCAGGCAGGGUCCCCAGGGUCAGAUCAGGUCCCCAGGGAUCAGCCCAAAUCCCUGUGGUAGGACAGUGUCCCUGGAAUCAGAGUGUCCCCAGGGCCCCAGGGUCAGGCAGGGUCCUGGGGCAGAGGAUGGGACAGUGUUCCCAGGGCUGGGGUGAGGCACAGGGUGCAGAGGGGUGAAAGAUGCCCUCAUGGACUCCGGUCAUCGUGAAGCCCAUGUAGGGUGGUGCCCAAGCUCGGAUCCACGUGGCAGCCUGGCUCCCUCUGCCACAGCGGUGGCUCCGGGCAGUGGGGUGGCCUCAGGACAGCGGAUUUUGACAGUGGCGUGAUGCGGUUCCUUAGCGCAAGGGAAGCAGAACUGGUUAAUGCAACUAGUCACUCUCAGAGCUAUUGUUCUCCACUGGUAUUCAGUUUUGCAGACUUCUGCUUCUAUUUCAGGCCUGCUGGAGGGCUCACGUACCCAACAGCCCGCCUGGUUUUUUCUUCUGAUUAUUUCAGUCAGCCUAAAAAAAGAUAUUACCUCCCUCUACAAACCUUGCCUCCAUUGUUCUGAGUGGAGAAAAUAAGAAGGGAAGGAGAGAAAAAGUCUCGAUGCCUGUUACCUCUGGGUUAAAUGCGCUUCUGCAUAGGUAUGGCAAGUGCUGGAAGGAAAAACAGGAGACAGCUUCUGGUAACCAGAGCUGGAAGAGAUCGGAACCAUCCAUCAGGGCUGGCUGUCCCCACCCUGCAGGGCCAGGGGUUAAUGGAAGAGACAGGAAUCACCCUGGGACACAUUGGGGUUGGAAAUGAGAAAUCUUGGUGCUGUCAAGGCACCUUGACAAGGAAAUGAUUGCCAUGUCAGCAGAAAGGAGAAAGUCAAUAAUAGAGGUGCUAUGAUGAAUCUGUGUUUUGACAAGAGGUUGAGACACUGAACACUCUUGGAAAAGCAAAGGGAAGAAAGACGGAUCCUAACUGGCCAUUACUGGUGUGACUGGGGGGAGAGGACAGCACGGGGGGGACGCAUCGUGCCCAGCGCUGUGGGGUUGCCCAGGAACUGUGCUUGCCUUUCUCUCAUCUCCAGGAUUUUGGGGCAGGACCCCCUAUUUAUUCCACUGCACAGGGCUGCAAGAGCAGCAGGGGCUGAGCCAGGACUGGAGCUCCUCAGAGCAGCUACGCGCAAAUAAUUAUUAUUGAUAAUUAGCAAAAACACACUGAUGGCAUCUCCUUCAUAUCAGCUUAGCUCUGAAUUUGGCAAAGGCUCCAGUCUCACUGAGACGAUCCCCUUGUUGUGUAAACACCUUCUGUGGCCUCCCCUGCCCCUCCUCCACAGCUGAGAGCCAAACUAGGCAAAGAAAAUGCUGCUAUGAGCUCCGGUGAUGGCACGGAGAGGCCUGGACAGCGGCUGGGAGUUGAGAGCAUCCUUCAGAUUUCUCCUUUACCUGGUACAAUGGGCACCUCUGAAAGAUUUGACCAAAAAAUCGUGGCUGGCCAUCAUCAUUCAGAGCUGUUGCCACACCAGGGUUAGCUCUCUGCUGCCUAACAUCAGGCAGACCCGGAGGGAUCCACCACGACCUCGAUGGCAGGACCGCAGGAACAGCCGCUGCGGGGGGACCUGUCGUCUGCGAGGGGGUGCUCAUUGCACGAGAAUGUGGAGGCUGGUCCAAAAACGCUGCGGGGAGACUUGCUGGGCACAUGUCUGCAGCUGGGGCUGGGCUGCCCCUUCAAGACACCAGUUACCGCUGCAGAGGGAACACAUCUUGGGUAGAGACUGCAAAGUGCCCUCUCUGAAUGGAGCUGGAAACAUGCUCAGAAAUCUGUGAAGACCAAAGGAAGACAUGUGGAAGAGGAGUCAGAAAGAAAGGAAGAUGAAGGGGCAACAUGGCUUCCUUCAUAUUUCCCGGUGAAACAAGGAAAAAACCCAACACUGCCCUUUAUUGUCUCAGAAAACCCACUUGCAGCUCAGCCCUGAAAGCAGGAUUCAGCAGCUCAGUAUAACCCAAACGUUUCCUGGGCUGCCUUCAAGAAAAUUUUGGAACAGAGAGGGCUUAAAUCCUGCUGAAGAGGCCCAUUUAUCUGGGAACUGAAAAAAAAAAAAAAAAAAAAAAUUGGGAUAAUAUUUAGAAAAACCUGUGAAUGGGCAUGGCCCGGUGUGUGCCGAGCAGCAGCAACCUGCUGGGCAGGGGGAGAAGCCCCCUCUGCAUGUGGCUAAUUUUCCCCUUUUCAUUUCUUUCCCAUUUCCUUCCUGGCUCUGAAAGGUUUUGCUCUUCCCAGGUGGGUCCUUGGGGUGUGUUUCCCUCAGGAGAGUGGCUGAAAGAAAAGACUUGUUGUGGGCAGGGUGGGUAGAAACCCUGCCUGGUCGGAGCAUCCCCGAGGGCUGGUGUGGAGAGCAUCUUUCCCCCAGUUAACAGCCCAGGCUGAUCCACAGGACCUGUUUAAUCAGAUAACACUUAAAACCAGGUUGAUUUCUGCCUAAUUGGUGAAUAAUAAACAUUUAAUUGGCAAAGCUUAAACGAAGCUGUAACCCCCCCUUCCCUGAGCCAUUAGCAGCAUCUAUUUUAACACUCAGAGCCUGGCUGGGAUUCAACAAAUGCUGGGUUUGGGGCUUUUUUUUCCCUGUUGAAAUACAUGAAUGUGUGUUCAAAAUUCAGUUGGCCAUCUCAGUCAGGUUUGAUGUAUAAUUAUGUUUGAUGAGGAAUAAUCGGCUUUCAAAACAAGACCAGGUUAACAUCUUUCCUGCUGUCUCCUGCGGGGAAGUCAAUAUUCACCACCAGCAGCUAAUGCUGAUUUUUAUGGGACUAUAUCCAGACACGUCCAGGGCUCCAUAAAACCCUCCUUCACCUUUGGCUGAUUUUUUUUUUUUUUAAGUCUUUUUUUCAACCUGGGAUGGGGUUUUUAUUACUGUGGAGUUUUGAUUCUUGAAGGAUUUGCCCCCCUGCCAUGGAUCUCAGGCUGCCUUGGCAGGAUGCAAAUGGACAUUUGCUGUAAAUAGGUGGGUUUACCCCCAAUUUUCCAGCUCAUCAGGAAAGAAAAUAAACAUCAGAGGUUUUGGGGGGGAUAUCCAAAAGGGAAACUUUGAAUUCUCAGACCAAACUGACUGCAAGAUUUGGGAGGUUGGUGCUGGUUCCAAGCCUGGCUGCAGGUUGAUGCUGCUGGUGCGGUCCUCAGCACAGAUGCUGGUUGAUGGUGGAUGGUUGAUGGUUGAACUGGUGUAGGGUCGGCUCUGCUUUAGCACCAGCGCCUGCCUAGGUGGAGCUGCUUCUCUUCAGCAUCGCGUCUGGCCAGAAAAUGCUGGAUUUGCUCCGAUCGCCCAAAUACUGCCUGACUGCAGCUUCUGAGCAGAGAUUGGGAAACAAAACAAAACAAAACAAAACAACACCCAAGCUGUGGGGUUGUGUUUGUUUUCCAUGCUCCCCCUGUGAAAUACCAUGCCAAAGGUAGCACCUCUUGGAGAUGAGGCUUUGGCAAAUCUUGUAAUGCUGACGAAACCUCCAGGAACGCCCUUGGUGAGCCCUGAGUGUCCCUUGAUGCUGAGAUGGGGACUGAGUCCCAGACCUGGCUUUCCAGAGGAUGUGGGGACAUGUGUGACACUGACCCACAGGACAACCCCUUCUCUGCCAAAAACUGUCCCUUCCCCAAGAGAGAGGCAGCCAGGCCCCUCUGCAGCCCCAAGGGGACGCUCCCGCAUCUGUCUCUCCAGCAAACCCCAAAACUACUGCCCACCAGGAUUUGAGCCCCCAAAUUCCCAACUGGGGCCAAAAUGUCCCCAAAAGGGGACCAGAGGCACAGCUCUGGGGAGGUUUAAAAGCCACCAGCCAAAAGUUGAGGGGGAAAUACCUUAAACUGGGAACACAUGGUGCUUGGGCAGCUCUCCUGCUUUUUUUUUAUUAUUAUUUUCAGGGUAUUUUGCAGCAAUUAAG